rnacentral:rRNA from 1 species
AGGCCACUGCUAUCGGAGUUCGAUUAAGCCAUGCGAGUCGAGAGGUGCAAGACCUCGGCAUACUGCUCAGUAACACGUGGACAAUCUAACCUAUGGAGAGGGAUAAUCCCGGGAAACUGGGGCUAAUACCUCAUAGACUAUGAAUGCUGGAAUGCUUCGUAGUUCAAAGGUCCGCCGCCAUAGGAUGGGUCUGCGGCCGAUUAGGUAGUUGUUGGGGUAACGGCCCAACAAGCCUGUAAUCGGUACGGGUUGUGGGAGCAAGAGCCCGGAGAUGGAUUCUGAGACACGAAUCCAGGCCCUACGGGGCGCAGCAGGCGCGAAAACUUUACAAUGCGGGAAACCGUGAUAAGGGAACUCCGAGUGCCCGUUAAAUCGGGCUGUCCGCCAGUUUAAAAAACUGGUGAAGAAAGGGCCGGGCAAGACCGGUGCCAGCCGCCGCGGUAAUACCGGCGGCUCGAGUGGUGGCCACUAUUACUGGGCUUAAAGCGUUCGUAGCUGGUUUGUUAAGUCUCUGGGGAAAUCUUCCGGCUUAACCGGAAGGCGUCUCAGGGAUACUGGCAGACUAGGGACCGGAAGAGGUGAGGGGUACUCCAGGGGUAGGAGUGAAAUCCUGUAAUCCUUGGGGGACCACCUGUGGCGAAGGCGCCUCACCAGGACGGCUCCGACAGUGAGGGACGAAAGCUGGGGGAGCAAACCGGAUUA